rnacentral:rRNA from 1 species
GAUGAACGCUAGCGGCAGGCUUAACACAUGCAAGUCGAGGGGUAGAGGAAGCUUGCUUCCUUGAGACCGGCGCACGGGUGCGCAGCGCGUAUGCAAUCUACCUUAUACAGGGGGAUAGCCCAGAGAAAUUUGGAUUAAUACCCCAUAGUAUAAUUGAAUGGCAUCAUUUAAUUAUUGAAGUUCCAACGGUAUAAGAUGAGCAUGCGUCCCAUUAGCUAGUUGGUGUGGUAACGGCACACCAAGGCGACGAUGGGUAGGGUCCUGAGAGGGAGAUCCCCCACACUGGUACUGAGACACGGACCAGACUCCUACGGGAGGCAGCAGUGAGGAAUAUUGGUCAAUGGGCGCAAGCCUGAACCAGCCAUGCCGCGUGCAGGAUGACGGUCCUAUGGAUUGUAAACUGCUUUUGACAGGAAGAAACACUCCCUCGUGAGGGAGCUUGACGGUACUGUAAGAAUAAGGAUCGGCUAACUCCGUGCCAGCAGCCG